rnacentral:rRNA from 1 species
CGGCGAACGGGUGAGUAACACGUGAGCAACCUGCCCCGAAGACUGGGAUAACACCGGGAAACCGGUGCUAAUACCGGAUGUCCUCCUCUGGUCGCAUGGCCUAGGGUGGAAAGGAAUUUUGCUUCGGGAGGGGCUCGCGGGCUAUCAGCUUGUUGGUGGGGUAACGGCUCACCAAGGCGACGACGGCUAGCUGGUCUGAGAGGACGAUCAGCCGGAUUGGGACUGAGAUACGGCCCAG